GGCUGCGGGGUGCAGAGCAGCCCUACGACCCCCGGCCCAGCUCCUGCUCCCAGCCCUUUCUGCUGACGCGAUCCACGAGGCCGUGGGAGGAGCGCUGCCGCUGGUCCCGGCCUGCACCGCGGCCCCGCCAUGAGGGUAGCCGCGGGGGGGCGGCCUGGGUCUGGGCCUGAGCCUCGGCCUCGCUGGGGAGGCCUUGCUGCCCUCGCACUGUGGGGAUACGGAGAAGGCACGCGUCGUUGGCGCUGUGCUGUUCGUGGGGCUUUCUGCAGGAGCGGGACGGGCAGUGGUGCUGUCCUCACAGGAGGAGAACCUCCCUGGGUGAGGGGCAGAGGGGCUGGGCCUUGUGGGGGUAACCCCGGCCUGGAGGAUCGGUUGUGGGCCCUGCUGCUGCACCUCCUCUCAUCGGUCAGAUCACAGCGAAACAUUUCAUGGAAAGCAGCAUGUAAAUGUGUCACAUGGCACAGCACGUGCCUGCCCGCAGACUCCCAGCUUUGCCCAAGGGGAGGUGUGCUUGGGCCCCAGGAGCUGUGUGGUGGCAUUCCUCCGCCUCUCUGGGGCCACUUUGUGAACCUGGUGUUUCUCUGCCCCCUGCCAGGACCUUUUCUCCCAGGAACUGGCCUUCCCUUACAACCAGCUGCUCUCUCAGAGAUGUUGUGCUGCCAUCAGCACGCAUCGAGGAGCGUGAGCAGCUCUCCUCCAGCCCCAGCACCCACACUGUGCCAUUCCCCACUCACUGCCAACAUCUUACUCUCGCUGCUUUUUCUCCAAGAGCUACCAAACCUCUGAGCAGAAGGAGAAGGGAACACAUCAGAGGGGCUGUGUGUGUGCAAUGACUGACAGCACGCUUCAGAAUAGUGGCAUUGUCUCUGCAUCUCCCUUUCCUAGAAAAUGCCUCAUUUUGACAACAUUAUUUCCAAGUGAGGUAAUGUGAGCUAAAUUUAGUUAAAUAGAACAAACCCAUCACUGCCUACAUCUUUCCAGGUACUUUGAGCCUGUACUUCCAGACCACAGGGCCAUCUUGCACUCUGCUCUCCCAGCCAUCAUUUGGGGUUCAACUUUUACAGUGGAGGUAAAUAGCGCAUUUGCUUGAGCAGGACGUGGUUGGGAAACGUUCCCAGUGCAGUGGAGCAUGCAGUGUUGCUGGGGCAGGUCGGAGCAUCAGACCUUCUGGAAUGUGGAAUGUAAACAGAGCCUGUUACUAGCAACAGCCCAGCUUUGUGCUAUAACCCCAACCACUGCGCUGUCCCUCAGGAGGAGCAAACGCCAAGCUCACUCCAGCUCAGAUUGCAACCCAAGGCCACAUGUCACUUGCCACUUUGGGUCAAAUCAUGACUGAAAAUAAGCAGUGCCCCUUCUGCCCACCAUUCCAGCAGCCUUAGGAUUUUCAACUCUUGCAAUUCCAGCUUCAGCCUCCAUGGCUUGCACCCAUCUAUGAAUGCAAGAGUUCAGUGCCAGCUCAAGAGAGGCUGCAUUUGCAGGACUGCUUCCGAGGACUAUUUGGCCUGAAAUACUGAGGGCUGGUUUGUGUGAGCAGGGGAGGAUCAAGCAGCAAAAGCAAAGAACCAGUUGUGACUCCGCUCAUCCCAAGCUCUGUGCAGUCAUUGCAGAGACAUCCAGCCCUAAGACCCAAAAUGAAAUCCACCAGCCUCAACCUCUCUGCUCACUUCCAACUCUGAGCUGGGCUGCAGGGAGCUGGAGUCACCCAGAUGGCGGAUGAAAGGACGAGUGACUACCCCCAGGUUGCAGGGGACCAGCACCAGGAUGCCUUCAACCUGAACAGAACCCUUCAUCACCCUCACUGCCUGGAUGCAGUCACUCCUGCACGAGACCCUCCUUGCAAGGAAGGGGUUUUGGAGGAGAAGUUCAGGCAGUAGAAGGGUGAGCGUUGUACACUAGCAUACACAGCAGUGAGACCCCCCCUCCAUCUACUGUCUCCUGCCUCUUUUUCUCAUCCUCUCCAAGACACAAACGUGCAUGGUAGUUAAUGGCUAGGAGAUAUUGGAGUUAGAAGUGUUAGAUUUGUUUUCUUUUGGGUGGCGGGGGAUGAGGAAGAUUGUUUUAUAGAAAACAAAUAACCAGCAGCAGCAAGGCAGCAAAAAUCACCCUGGACACAGACUGGAAAGAAUGGCUGACAGACAAGACCUGUGAAGCAGGCUCUGCCUGAGUGACCCAGCCCAUAUGACAGAGCCAGGGAUGCCCAAGGUCCCCUGGUGACCUCCUCCUGCCCAGGAAGUGCUGAGCAGCAACCACUACAGCUCAGCUAAGCCACACUUUUUAUUGUAAUCCAUGCAAUAUGUUUGUGUUUUAUAGUAUGACAGAGGAAAGGAUAAAGAUCAAUGUUAGACAUAAACAAAAGCAAAAAGGUCAUUUGUAACAGGUCCUGAGAAGGAAAGGCACAUCGUAACCACUGAAUUCAACACAACAGAAACCUUGGACAGAGGAAGACAAUGCUGGAAAGUGGAGAAGGGAGGGGGUGU